GAACGCUGGCGGCGUGCUUAACACAUGCAAGUCGAACGGAAAGGCCCUGCUUGCAGGGUACUCGAGUGGCGAACGGGUGAGUAACACGUGGGUGAUCUGCCCUGCACUUCGGGAUAAGCUUGGGAAACUGGGUCUAAUACCGGAUAGGAGCCAUCUUUAGUGUGGUGGUUGGAAAGUUUUUUCGGUGUAGGAUGAGCUCGCGGCCUAUCAGCUUGUUGGUGGGGUAAUGGCCUACCAAGGCGGCGACGGGUAGCCGGCCUGAGAGGGUGUACGGCCACAUUGGGACUGAGAUACGGCCCAGACUCCUACGGGAGGCAGCAGUGGGGAAUAUUGCACAAUGGGCGCAAGCCUGAUGCAGCGACGCCGCGUGGGGGAUGAAGGCCUUCGGGUUGUAAACUCCUUUCGCUAGGGACGAAGCUUUUUUGUGACGGUACCUAGAUAAGAAGCACCGGCUAACUACGUG
rnacentral:rRNA from 1 species